ACAUCCAAUGCAGAAUACCAAUUUAAGUUACAAAUGCCAUUGCACUUUAAGAUAUAUUCAGGAAAAACAAGAACAGAAUUUUCUUAAGUUAAAGGUCUAGGAAAAACAACCAUACCUACCUACAGCUGAUUUAUUUAUUGAUGGCAGUAUUAAACUAGACCAUCCCCAUGUGGGCCAUACAGACCUCAAACGUAUUCAUAUACCAAAAUACAAAGGGUUUACUUACUCCACGCAGUCUUCCUGGGCAGAUGCCACAUGCUGACUUGGGGGCUUUGCCAACCUUCUUGGUGUACAGGUACACAAUACGGUUACCGGGCGUC